rnacentral:lncRNA from 1 species
CUUAAUUAUCCCAUGAAAGACUAGGAAAAUAUGUUAUUUAUGCUGAAGUAUAAGUACAAAGGCAGAAUGUUUCCACUAGUUACUGCUCACUUUUCUUGGUUAUUAAGAGACUUUUCUCUUAUUCUUUAGUUUAAGUGUGAAGGAAAGUUGAAGUUCUUGAAGAAUUCAAGUUAAAGGGAGAAGUUGCAUAGAUUGAGCUAAGGUGACUGCUCCUUUUUUGUCCUCUUUAUGUAUGAGUUUGGAUAAAGAAUUACAAGUGUAUUUUUAUUAAGAACUCAAGGGAUGGUGAGUUCAAUAUUUGGUUGCUAUGAUAAAUAAUAUUUGAGUCUAUUUUAUGUGUAUAUGUCAAUAUGGUUGAUGUUGGGAAAAUGUGUGAAUAUUUUGUAUUUAAAUAUAGAAGGAGGGUGUAGUGAUACACCAUCGAACUAAAUGUUGUGUAGGGUUACUACUUACUCCACUUUGUAUGUUGUUUAGAGGGUGUAAUGAAGCCAAAGUUGUUUCGGAGGAU